rnacentral:rRNA from 1 species
AUUGGGCGGCGUGCUAACACAUUGCAGUUCGAACGAAGCCACCUGAAGAAUGAUUCUUCCGGAUGAAAUCUCUUUGUGACUGAAGUGGCGGAACGGGUGAAGUAACGCGUGGGUAACCUGCCUCACACAGGGGGAUAACAGUUUGGAAACGACCGCUAAUACCGCAUAACCCGCUUGGUUGCCGCAUGGCACUGACGGAAAAGAUUUAUCGGUGUGAGAUGGACCCGCGUCUGAUUAGCCAGUUGCCAGGGUAACGGCCUACCAAAGCGACGAUCAGUAGCCGGCCUGAGAGGGUGAACGGCCACAUUGGGACUGAGACACGGCCCAGACUCCUGCGGGAGGCAGCAGUGGGGAAUAUUGCACAAUGGGGGAAACCCUGAUGCAGCGACGCCGCGUGAGUGAAGAAGUAUUUCGGUAUGUAAAGCUCUAUCAGCAGGGAAGAAAAUGACGGUACCUGAUUAAGAAGCCCCGGCUAACUACGUGCCAGCAGCCGCGGUAAUACGUAGGGGGCAAGCGUUAUCCGGAUUUACUGGGUGUAAAGGGAGCGUAGACGGUGAUGCAAGUCAGAAGUGAAAGCCCGGGGCUCAACUCCGGGACUGCUUUUGAAACUGUGUGACUGGAGUGCAGGAGAGGUAAGCGGAAUUCCUGGUGUAGCGGUGAAAUGCGUAGAUAUCANGAGGAACACCAGUGGCGAAGGCGGCUUACUGGACUGUAACUGACGUUGAGGCUCGAAAGCGUGNGGAGCAAACAGGAUUAGAUACUCUGGUAGUCCACGCCGUAAACGAUGAAUAUUANGUGUCGGGGAGCAAAGCUCUUCGGUGCCGCAGCAAACGCAUUAAAUAUUCCACCU